rnacentral:snoRNA from 9 species
ACAAGUUCCACUCGAACAAGAUCUAUUCUAUAGGCUCGUACCGCUACAUCCUUUAUCAAUAAGCAGGCGAGCACAUUCAGAAGAUAAACCAAGUUCGAAUAAAUCUUAAAGUUCCAGAAUGAAGA